ensembl:lncRNA novel transcript, antisense to GNB5
AGGAUGGAGACCCGGGACCCUUUGAGAACAUCCCAGACGUUGAUAGUGUAAUCAUUGUAUCCAGCAAACAGCAGGCGACCUUGAAGCAGGAAAAGUUCCCUUUGGGGCAUGAAGAGAAGCAAAGGCUGGGGAGAAAAUGCCUGAGAGCAUUGUGGAAGUGAAUUUCUGACACUUCAUUGCCUUGAAGGACAGCAUUAGGUCAUAGAGGCGACACUGGGGAGCAAAUAAAUAAAGAAGCACUUACUUCUGGCUUCAGUUUGGUGACGUGAUGACCACAGAGCUACAGGGAAGGAACAAAUUACAAGGAGGGGAAUCUGCUCCCGCCCUGGUGUUGCACCCACUGGCUGUCCACAGGACCCCCUCCAGCCUUGACUUCCCUCAGGAGGCCUGCAUACAUCCAACAAGAUGACUUAAGCUAGCAAAGUAGCUUAUGGACACACAAAACCUGAACCGAGGCUGAAAUUUGGGUACUCAUAUUUUGUUGGAUGCUCAAAUUCCCUCAAUCUCUCCUGGCCCACACCCACUAGUGGCUGUUCCAACUCACUGCUUUCCUAAUAACACUUGCAGUAACUUACAGUUUAUUUUGAGACACCAGGUCCAAACAAUUUUCUUUAAGCAACUACCCCAGUCUUGCUCUUUAAUUUAGGAAAUUUUCAUACCAUACUGUUUGAUCAAAGAAAUGAAUAGUUUUUAAAAGUUAAAAGUAGAUUUCUAAUACUUUUCAAUUUUGUGUUUCUGAUCUUCAUUAUAAUAUAAGUAAAAAUAAAGUUUAAAGACCAAACAUUUAUUCAUAUAAAUGCAUUAAACAGAACCCCUAACUCAUUGUCACUCAUUUGUUCUGGAAUGCAGAGAAUUUGUAAGUUUAAUACCAUAGUCUCAUACCAGCCGCUUGAGU